AAUACAGUAUCUAGAAAGUUGACUUUUGCCAGAAGCACAUUGUUCCAAACUUUCGGUUAGUGACGUAACUGAUUAACUGAAUUCACAAUUGGCACAUUGGCUAGCUGGACAGACAAUUUGAACGUUGAUCCUUCUUUGUCCCCUCCAACCUUCAACCACACUUCAUCUUCAGGGAUCACUUCAUGCCAGACAAGUUGGUUGGCUCUGCAAUGAAGUGAGUGUACUGUUUUUGGAAGAGAGGGUACAAAGACACAAGGCGAUGACCGGAGUUCUUCUCCGCCUGUUGGCAGUUUGAAUCCAAUGUCACAACCCAGCGUGAUAGCCAUCUGAAGUACAGACAGUGAGCAAGAGCUUGAACAUGCAGCUAAACAGCUGGCACUGGGGACAGUCAUACAAGGGAGACUGAUGCAAGUGUUGAAUGGCACACUUCUUGCACACUAAAUGGUUGCAUUGGAAUUCAACUGGGCUAUUGACAACUUUUUCACACACAGGGCACUUGAACAAGUCAACAGGUACUAAUGACUCAGAUUGGAUGAAAUUAGAUAGUUGGAUUGCUUGAAUAAGGUCUUCUGAACAUAGGGCUUCUGGUGCUACUGUUUCUAUUUGUUGGAUUAGAUCGGUCAAUUUGAUUGCUGGCUGACCUGUGGGAACAAGUCGAUUCUUUUUCACUUUUUUUGGGUGGUCUUCCUCCUUUCUUCUGUUGCUGACAACUGGAGCAGUUGUUGCAGUUUUCUGAGUGUGGCAUCCACUCUCUGCAGAGAGGUACAAGAACAGAGGCUCCUUGCCUCUUUGUAAAUCGAUGCAUUGCUAGAUGGCAGCGGACACAGAAAUUGGUAGGAUGCACAGAAACAUCAUCUGUUCCAACAUCUAUCUUAUACAACUGGAGAAUCCUGUCUUUGUGGUUUAGACAUUUGUACUGACGGUCCUCAUAAUUGAACCUGGAGCCACAUAACCUGCAAACCUCUCGUAGGGAAAGGAUGUGAUGCUCCAUAUCCAUAGACUAGACUGACAAUACUUGUAAAUUGAUUUACUGUUUGUAUGUACGUCUUAUGUAGUGUAUGAAGUAGGGAAAGGGCGUGAGAGAGUGGUGAGGUAAAGAACUCCUACAGGUGUACAGUUCAAAUUCAAG